rnacentral:rRNA from 1 species
GACGGGCCCGCACAAGCAGCGGAGCGUGUGGUUUAAUUCGAUGCUACACGAAGAACCUUACCAGGGUUGACAUACAAGUAGUAGGGAAAGGAAACUGGACCGACCCUUCGGGGAGCUUGUACAGGGUGCUGCAUGGCUGUCGUCAGCUCGUGUCGUGAGAUGUUGGGUUAAGUCCCGCAACGAGCGCAACCCUUGUCAUUAGUUGCUACAUUUAGUUGGGCACUCUAAUGAGACUGCCGGUGACAAACCGGAGGAAGGUGGGGAUGACGUCAAGUCCUCAUGGCCCUUAUAGGUGGGGCUACACACGUCAUACAAUGGAUGGUACAAAGGGUCGCCAACCCGCGAGGGGGAGCCAAUCCCAUAAAGCCAUUCGUAGUCCGGACCGCAGUCUGCAACUCGACUGCGUGAAGUCGGAAUCGCUAGUAAUCGUGGAUCAGAAUGUCACGGUGAAUACGUUCCCGGGUCUU